rnacentral:rRNA from 1 species
UACGUAGGGUGCGAGCGUUGUCCGGAAUUAUUGGGCGUAAAGGGCUCGUAGGCGGUCUGUCGCGUCGGGAGUGAAAACUCAGGGCUUAACCCUGAGCCUGCUUCCGAUACGGGCAGACUAGAGGUAUGCAGGGGAGAACGGAAUUCCUGGUGUAGCGGUGGAAUGCGCAGAUAUCAGGAAGAACACCGACGGCGAAGGCAGCUCGCUGGGACGGUACUGACGCUGAGGCGCGAAAGCGUGGGGAGCGAACAGG